rnacentral:rRNA from 1 species
UACGUAGGGUGCAAGCGUUGUCCGGAAUCAUUGGGCGUAAAGGGCUCGUAGGCGGUCCAUCGCGUCGGGAGUGAAACGCUGGGGCUUAACCCCAGUCCUGCUUUCGAUACGGGUGGACUAGAGGUAGGCAGGGGAGAAUGGAAUUCCUGGUGUAGCGGUGAAAUGCGCAGAUAUCAGGAGGAACACCGGUGGCGAAGGCGGUUCUCUGGGCCUAAUCUGACGCUGAGGAGCGAAAGCGUGGGGAGCAAACAGG